AACGAACGCUGGCGGCAGGCUUAACACAUGCAAGUCGAACGCCCCGCAAGGGGAGUGGCAGACGGGUGAGUAACGCGUGGGAACGUACCCUUUACUACGGAAUAACUCAGGGAAACUUGUGCUAAUACCGUAUGUGCCCUUCGGGGGAAAGAUUUAUCGGUAAAGGAUCGGCCCGCGUUGGAUUAGCUAGUUGGUGGGGUAAAGGCCUACCAAGGCGACGAUCCAUAGCUGGUCUGAGAGGAUGAUCAGCCACAUUGGGACUGAGACACGGCCCAAACUCCUACGGGAGGCAGCAGUGGGGAAUAUUGGACAAUGGGCGCAAGCCUGAUCCAGCCAUGCCGCGUGAGUGAUGAAGGCCCUAGGGUUGUAAAGCUCUUUCACCGGUGAAGAUAAUGACGGUAACCGGAGAAGAAGCCCCGGCUAACUUCGUGCCAGCCGCCGCAGUAACAC
rnacentral:rRNA from 1 species